rnacentral:rRNA from 1 species
UCGGCGGGGAAGAAAUCGCAUGGGUUAAUACCCUGUGCGGAUGACGGUACCGGCAUAAGAAGCACCGGCUAACUACGUGCCAGCAGCCGCGGUAAUACGUAGGGUGCGAGCGUUAAUCGGAAUUACUGGGCGUAAAGCGUGCGCAGGCGGUUUGUUAAGAUAGGCGUGAAAUCCCCGGGCUCAACCUGGGAACUGCGCUUAUGACUGGCAAGCUAGAGUACGGCAGAGGGGGGUGGAAUUCCACGUGUAGCAGUGAAAUGCGUAGAGAUGUGGAGGAACACCAAUGGCGAAGGCAGCCCCCUGGGUCGAUACUGACGCUCAUGCACGAAAGCGUGGGUAGCAAACAGGAUUAGAUACCCUGGUAGCCCACGCCCUAAACGAUGUCAACUAGGUGUUGGAUGGGUAAAACCAUUUAGUACCGGAGCUAACGCGUGAAGUUGACCCGCUGGGGAGUACGGCCGCAAGGUUAAAACUCAAAGGAAUUGACGGGGACCCGCACAAGCGGUGGAUGAUGUGGAUUAAUUCGAUGCAACGCGAAAAACCUUACCUACCCUUGACAUGUCCAGGAGCCUGAAGAGAUUUGGGUGUGCCCGAAAGGGAACUGGAACACAGGUGCUGCAUGGCUGUCGUCAGCUCGUGUCGUGAGAUGUUGGGUUAAGUCCCGCAACGAGCGCAACCCUUGUCGUUAAUCGCCAUCAUUUAGUUGGGCACUUUAACGAGACUGCCGGUGACAAACCGGAGGAAGGUGGGGAUGACGUCAAGUCCUCAUGGCCCUUAUGGGUAGGGCUUCACACGUCACACAAUGGUCGGUACAAAGGGUUGCCAAGCCGCGAGGUGGAGCCAAUCCCAGAAAGCCGAUCGUAGUCCGGAUUGCAGGCUGCAACUCGCCUGCAUGAAGUCGGAAUCGCUAGUAAUCGUGGAUCAGCAUGUCACGGUGAAUACGUUCCCGGGUCUUGUACACACCGCCCGUCACACCAUGGGAGCGGGUUCCGCCAGAAGUAGGUAGCCUAACCGCAAGGGGGGCGCUUACCACGGCGGGGUUCGUGACUGGGGUGAAGUCGUAACAAGGUAGCCGUA